UACGUAGGGUGCGAGCGUUGUCCGGAAUUAUUGGGCGUAAAGAGCUCGUAGGCGGUGUGUCACGUCGGCCGUGAAAACCUGCAGCUUAACUGUGGGCGUGCGGUCGAUACGGGGCAUCACUGGAGUUCGGCAGGGGGAGACUGGAAUUCCUGGUGUAGCGGUGGAAUGCGCAGAUAUCAGGAGGAACACCGGUGGCGAAGGCGGGUCUCUGGGCAGUAACUGACGCUGGAGGAGCGAAAGCGUGGGGAGCGAACAGG
rnacentral:rRNA from 1 species